rnacentral:rRNA from 1 species
UACGAAGGGGGCUAGCGUUGUUCGGAAUUACUGGGCGUAAAGCGUGCGCAGGCGGCUUCUCAAGUCAGGGGUGAAAGCCCAGAGCUCAACUCUGGAAUUGCCUUUGAGACUGAGUGGCUUGAGUACGAGAGAGGUGGGUGGAAUUCCCAGUGUAGAGGUGAAAUUCGUAGAUAUUGGGAAGAACACCGGUGGCGAAGGCGGCUCACUGGCUCGUAACUGACGCUCAUGCACGACAGCGUGGGGAUCAAACAGG